rnacentral:rRNA from 1 species
UACGUAGGGAGCAAGCGUUGUCCGGAUUUACUGGGUGUAAAGGGUGCGUAGGCGGGAACACAAGUCAGGCGUGAAAUACCGGGGCUCAACUCCGGGGCUGCGCUUGAAACUGUGUUUCUUGAGUGAAGUAGAGGCAGGCGGAAUUCCUAGUGUAGCGGUGGAAUGCGUAGAUAUUAGGAGGAACACCAGUGGCGAAGGCGGCUUACUGGACUGUAACUGACGUUGAGGCUCGAAAGCGUGGGGAGCAAACAGG